rnacentral:rRNA from 1 species
UGAAUUAGCCCUGAAAAUGGAUGGCGCUUAAGCGGGUGGCCGACACCACGCCGUGUGACCGAUUAUAUGAAUUUUUUUUUGUUUGUUGUGUUUUGAUGUCACAUGAGUAGGAGGGCGUGGCGGGCGUGGCGAAGCAUGGGUGCGAACCUGUGUGGAACGGUCCGCUAGUGCAGAUUUUGGUGGUAGUAGCAAGUAUUCAAGCGAGAACCUUGAAGGGCGAAGCGGGGAAGGGUUCCACGCGAACAUUGAUUGGGCGUGGGUGAGUUGUUCCUAAGCCGAGUGGCAAUUGCCAAGUAUUGGCGAAAGGGAAGCGGGUUGAAAUUCCCGCACAUGGAUGUGGAGCGCGGUGACGCGGAAUGGGGCGAACACGCUGGCGACGGCGCUAGGCAGAGUUGUUUUUUUUGUUUGACCGAGUGUACGGGCUGUGUGGAAUCCGCUUGUUGGGAGAAACACGCUUGUACGGGCAGAGGGCCGGGGCUUUUCCGGGGUUUAGGUUGCCGUUGACGGCCCUUGAAACUUUGCCUGCUGAAAGUAUUUUUUUUCCCCUUUUUUUUUUGAGGGGAAAAAGGUAUAAAGAUCCACGCCAUGGCGUACCGAUCACCGCAUCAGGUCCCCAAGGUGAACAGCCUCUGCUCGAUAUGAACAAUGCAGGUAAGGGAAGUCGGCAAAUUGGACCCGUAACUUUGGGAAAAGGGUUGGCUCUAGUGCUGCGUGGGAGAGGUUGUCCGUGUUUUGUGGGGGCGGAGUAGAGGCUACUUGGCUCGGAACCUAGGCAACUGGGGGCUGUUCUGGGAGGCCUUUGCACUGUUUCCGCCACGGACGACGCCCACGGCAUGCAGCAGACUAGAACUGCAACGGGCAAAGGGAAUCCGACUG